rnacentral:rRNA from 1 species
CUGGCGGCGUGCCUAACAAUGCAAGUCGAACGAGAAAGUGGAGCAAUCCAUGAGUACAGUGGCGUACGGGUGAGUAACACGUGACUAACCUACCCUCGAGUGGGGAAUAACUUCGGGAAACCGAGGCUAAUACCGCAUAAUGUCUACGGACCAAAUGCGUAAGCAGCUCGAGGAGGGGGUCGCGGCUGAUUAGCUUGUUGGCGGGGUAACGGCCCACCAAGGCAAUGAUCAGUAGCCGGCCUGAGAGGGCGCACGGCCACACUGGAACUGAAACACGGUCCAGACUCCUACGGGAGGCAGCAGUGGGGAAUUUUGCGCAAUGGGGGAAACCCUGACGCAGCAACGCCGCGUGGAGGAUGAAGCCCCUUGGGGUGUAAACUCCUUUCGAUCGGGACGAUUAUGACGGUACCGGAUGAAGAAGCACCGGCUAACUCUGUGCCAGCAGCCGCGGUAAUACAGAGGGUGCAAGCGUUGUUCGGAAUUAU